rnacentral:rRNA from 1 species
UACGUAGGGUGCGAGCGUUGUCCGGAAUUAUUGGGCGUAAAGAGCUCGUAGGCGUCUGUUGCGUCCGCUGUGAAAACUCGGGCUUAACCCCGAGCCUGCAGUGGAUACGGGCAGACUAGAGGUAGGUAGGGGAGAAUGGAAUUCCCGGUGUAGCGGUGAAAUGUGCAGAUAUCGGGAAGAACACCCGUGGCGAAGGCGGCUCUCUGGAACGCAACUGACGCUGAGACGCGAAAGCGUGGGGAGCAAACAGG